rnacentral:misc_RNA from 1 species
UUCUUGGGGUUUAUUAGGGUUUUGAUUUUGUCCAUUCCAGAAGAAGAAAGAGAUGAAUUUGGGGGAUUUACAUAAAGUAUGGGAAAUCGAAGCCCUAAAGAAACCAGGAGAAGAAGAAGCUAAGAAGAUGCUCGAGAAACUAGCCAAACAGGUUCAACCCAUUAUGCGUAAGCACAAAUGGAGUGUCAAGCUCCUCUCCGAAUUUUGUCCAAACAACCCAGCACUUCUGGGAUUGAAUGUAGGAGGUGGAGUGCAUGUAAAACUGAGGCUUCGAAGGCCAAACAGAGACUGGGAUUUCUUUCCAUUUGAUCAGGUUCUGGAUACGAUCCUUCAUGAACUAUGCCAUAAUGUUCAUGGUCCUCACAACGCCAAUUUCUACAAGCUUUGGGAUGAGUUGAGAAAGGAAUGUGAGGAGUUGCUUUCCAAGGGAAUAACCGGCACGGGGGAGGGGUUUGAUCUGCCAGGGAGGCGUUUGGGUGGGUUUUCCCGCCAUCCUCCUCCUUCAUCUCUUCGUAAAGCUGCCUUAGAUGCUGCAGAAAAGAGAGCAAAAUUGGGAUCUAUGCUACCAUCUGGACCUAAACGGCUUGGUGGUGAUACCACCAUUAUGGUUGCACUCAGUCCAAUACAAGCUGCAGCAAUGGCUGCAGAAAGGAGAUUACAGGAUGAGAUUUGGUGUGGUUCUCAGUCUGCUGAGGUUUUUG